CGUAAGUAUGUUUUAUUCGAGAAAAAUAGGUUGGAAUUUGUGGGCGUUAAGCCAAAAAUAAGUGACCUCCGACUAAUACAAAACCCAAUGGAUUUCAAACAUAGUUUACUGUGUUAGCUGUUAUCUGUGAAGUGGUGUGGAGACCAAUCCUAUUAAAUUUCGAAAUGUUGAGAACGAGGUAUAAUCCUGUAUAUGGCAAUGAAUAUUAUUUAGGCGAUACAAGAUCAAUUCCAGAUUAUAGAAUUCACAGAUCUUACAAUUUUUACGAUUUUUGGCCCUACGUAGUUAAAAUUACCUAUAGGAAUAGACCCUUUAGAAGAUGGCUUACUACACCGACACUUUAUGGACAAAAUUUAUAUUCGAACGAAAGCAUCAUAGUAAAAUCGUCCAGUUCCAGCGUAUCUAAGACAGUUUCUAGAUACAGUUCCUAUUAAGUUUCUAGCAUUUUUGAUUUCCUAAAAUAUAUAUUUGAGUGAACAUACAAUAAUUUAUAUGCAUUGAGUCAUAGAGUUUUAUUUUUGUAAUGUUGGCGAGCGAUAUUUAAAAUAAAGUUGUUUCAGUAAAAUGAGAA